AUGUUGAAGCUGCGGCUGCUUGGGCUAGCGGCGAUUGAGAGGGCCAGAAGGCGGCAGGCCUGCAGAGUGCUCUGGUUACGCGCGGGAGAUGCCAACACCAAUUUUUUCCAUGCCAAGUGAUGUUCCAGAAAACGCAAGAACUUCAUCCACACAAUCCAGGGUGAUGAUCAGAUUUCCACAACUCAUAGCGACAAGGCACAACUCAUUCAUGAUCAUUUCAGCAAGGCAAUGGCGGCUGACACGGGCAGAAGGGUCACCCUCAACUGGAACUUGCUGCGGCUACCAAGGGUACAAGCAGCUGGACUGGAUAACCCUUUUACAGAAGCUGAAGUGUGGGCGGCAGUGAUGCAAUCACCGAUAGAGAAGGCACCAGGCCCCGACGGCUUCAUCGGCUGCUUUUUCCAUGCUUGCUAG
rnacentral:rRNA from 1 species